GCGACUUCGUCUCUGAGCCCCUUCCUCUCCGCACAAACGCGCGCCCGUGCACGCCGGCGUCCUCCUUCCUCUUUUUUCCAGACAGCUCGACAGCGGCCACAGCGCAGCGCACAGGCCAGGGGGUCGUGGGCAGCGAGGCAAGCUCGCUCACACACAGCUGGCGCCUCCCCUUAGCAGCACAUCCUUGCAGUCUUUCCAACUCUUAUCCGCUCGACGCAGCCGCUUAUGGCUUACCCUGGCUUCUUUCGCUUGACUGCUGCGGCCCGGGUGGCGCUCAUGGCGUUGUGUCUUGCUCUAGCACUCAUCUGCGUGGCCGCUGUUGCUGCGCCUACCUUCUCCGCAUCGUCCGCAGCCCAGCAGUAUAGGGACAGACGCGUCGCGCACUUGCGCGCUGCUUUGCUCGACAAGGCACCGUAUCAUGCAGAGGCGUUACCCGAUCCGCCACUGGAGUGGGGCGUUCACACGGCGUGCAAGAAGUUCGGCCGUGGCUGCCCGGACUCGUACGUUGAGUUUCUCGAGGAGCUCGUAGCCUCACUGAAGGGUGAGGUCGCUGAUGGAGACGGUCGCGACGUCGCAGACGCGGUCGCGGAGAAGAGGAAAGGGACGGAGCAUGCGACAUGCCAGGCUCAGACGGAGCUGGGCAAUAACGCGGCGACACGAGUCGCGUCUGUCGUCGAGGCCCCCGAGCGGUGCAUCAGCGGCGUGGACGACCGCGUUGCCGACGCUGCUGUCUCUCUUGCCGCACUCCUGCCGGGUGAUCUCCGACUUCCUCUGCAGUUGACGUGGCCGUACGAGGCGCGGAAGCGUCUUGAGAACCUGCUCCAUCUACUUGCCACUCGCGAGUCUGAGCUCCGCAGAGACGGUGUCGCGCCGGCGCCGUUACAGCGACUCUACCAUGUACCAUCUGCCGAGCACAUUCACUUGGUGGAGGACCUAGACGGCGCCGUAACGGCGCGGCUGCACACCGCUUGCGCUAUCGGCUCAGCGUCGUCGUCGGCGCCACUGCCAGCGGGGUGGACACUGCAAAAGUGGGAAGACAUGUACGGCUUGUGGUGUCGACAUGUCGAGCAACAGCAUCAAAAUCGACGAGAUGAUAGCUUGGGCGCAACUAGCGUGAUAGCAGCACCUCCAUCCAGCUUGGUGCCUCUUCCUCGCAAGGCAUGGCAUUGCACUGCACUCCACCACGCGACACUGUACCUGCAGCUGCUCGUGCGCGCAGAUCAGCUUCUCACCUGGGCUUGGGGCUGGACUUUUUACAUCGCAGUACCAAGUGCGUUUCUGGUGUGCGUUCUUCUCUGGCUCUGCGUGGGAGAUGCAUGGACAGAAGCGGCUGAGGCCUUCGUGGUGAAUGCGUCCGCGGUUACAGCUGAUGCCGCAGGGCAAGACGACGGCGUGGUGAAGGAGGCUAGUGCGAGUAGGGGCACGACACCUAGCGCAACACCGCACGAGUGUCGGCCGCCCUCGGCGACCACAGGAUCUCCCUCGACUCUGACCGCGAGUUCUGCCGUGCAUGGGGCCGAGGCAGCGCCGUCGACGUCCCCCGUAACCUCUGUAGCCCUCGCAGAGGGGCGGCGUGACACCCCUCCGGCAGGGUACGGCGCGGUGCCCGCCUCGGAGCAUUGCCCCCACCAACACCAAGGGCAGCUCGAAGGGCAGCGGCAGCGUCGCGCUGCUCUGCUACGCCGGCGUUUUGCUGUAUCUGCUCUCCACCGCUCCCCCACACUCUUUUUCCUCAAGUUACGGCUGCUCCUGUGCCUCCUUGUGGCAGGCCAACUGCUGUGGAGCCUGUGGCGUGUCUUAGCUGCCAGCUAUGACGUGACCGCCUCAGCUGCUCCACUUGUGCAGUUCUUUCUCCCGUCCUGGCUUCUGGGGUGCCUGAGCGUGUAUCUCGUUGUGCCACUGCAGAUGAUGGUGCUGGGGACAGCGUUGAAGGGUGCCCUAAGCGCGCACGAAGAACUACUGUCUUUCCAAGCCAAGUGCGCAGCUGAGCAGCGUGCUCUACUGAACGCUGCUGGCGUGCUUCCAUUGGGUGGCUAAGAAGUAUGGCGCGGUGCAGAUGGAAGGAGAGGACGCCGAUGUUGCACCCAUAUUUUCACUUAGCCACGCGGGCCUACCUGGCUGUACGCACACACCCAUCCACGGUGCUCGAGACGACGCAGCUCCUCUCUCCGUGCUACAGAAG
rnacentral:misc_RNA from 1 species